UACGGAAGGGGGCAAGCGUUGUUCGGAAUCAUUGGGCGUAAAGGGCGCGUAGGUGGUUUUGUGUGUCUACCGUGAAAGCAUACAGCUCAACUGUAUUUUGUCGGUAGAAACUGCAGGACUUGAGGCUGGGAGGGGCUGGUGGAAUUCCCUGUGUAGCGGUGAAAUGCGUAGAGAUGGGGGAGAACACUCGUGGCGAAGGCGGCCAGCUAGACCAGUUCUGACACUGAGGCGCGACAGCGUGGGGAGCAAACAGG
rnacentral:rRNA from 1 species